rnacentral:rRNA from 1 species
UCGAUGAAGAACGCAGCGAAAUGCGAUAAGUAAUGUGAAUUGCAGAAUUCAGUGAAUCAUCGAAUCUUUGAACGCACAUUGCGCCCCUUGGUAUUCCGAGGGGCAUGCCUGUUCGAGCGUCAUUAUAACCACUCAAGCUUCGGCUUGGUCUUGGGGUUCGCGGUCUCGCGUCCCUUAAAAUCAGUGGCGGUGCCGUCUGGCUCUAAGCGUAGUAAUUCUCUCGCUAUAGGGUCCCGGUGGUUGCCUGCCAGAACCCCCAUUUACGGUUGACCUCGGAUCAGGUAGGGAUACCCGCUGAACUUAA